GACGAACGCUGGCGGCGUGCUUAACACAUGCAAGUCGAACGGAAAGGCCCUGCUUUUGUGGGGUGCUCGAGUGGCGAACGGGUGAGUAACACGUGAGUAACCUGCCCUUGACUUUGGGAUAACUUCAGGAAACUGGGGCUAAUACCGGAUAGGAGCUCCUGCUGCAUGGUGGGGGUUGGAAAGUUUCGGCGGUUGGGGAUGGACUCGCGGCUUAUCAGCUUCUUGGUGGGGUAGUGGCUUACCAAGGCUUUGACGGGUAGCCGGCCUGAGAGGGUGACCGGCCACAUUGGGACUGAGAUACGGCGCAGACUCCUACGGGAGGCAGCAGUGGGGAAUAUUGCACAAUGGGCGGAAGCCUGAUGCAGCAACGCCGCGUGCGGGAUGACGGCCUUCGGGUUGUAAACCGCUUUCGCCUGUGACGAAGCGUGAGUGACGGUAAUGGGUAAAGAAGCACCGGCUAACUACGUG
rnacentral:rRNA from 1 species